rnacentral:rRNA from 1 species
CGGCGAACGGGUGAGUAACACGUGGGUAACCUACCCUCGGCACUGGGAUAGCCCGGGGAAACCCGGAUUAAUACCGGAUAGCCUUACGGACUCUCGGGCUCGUGAGGAAAGGUAGCUUUGGCCUCCGGCCGAGGAUGGGCCCGCGGCGGAUUAGCUUGUUGGUGAGGUAACGGCUCACCAAGGCAACGAUCCGUAGCUGGUCUGAGAGGACGAUCAGCCACACUGGGACUGAGACACGGCCCAG